CCCCAGGGAGGGGUCAUGCUGAUACAAGCCAAAUUGGACAAAACUGACAUGUAGACAACCAAUUGAGCUAGCAUGCCACUCCAAAAUUUCAUCAGUGGAAUUCAUACUGUAUUUAGCUUAGGCCAAGUGCUUCUGGCUGAAGCAUGAGGCAUUUAGCAGAUGCUAAUAUUCUAUUCAUGGGUGUUAUCUAGAGCAAAUAAAAUUUGACAGCUGACCAGUCUAUAACUUCAUUUCCACGCAUACUCACACACACGCCUCCCCACCACCACCAGCAACUUCACAACAACAUCCUGUGAUAACUUCUUGUGUAACCAACCACUCUAACUUUUUCUAUGCACUGAGUAGAUGCACCAACUAACAGUUCUUUAUCCUUCAGUUUAUAGCUUGCAUCUAGGUGGCUCAGGCUCUAAGGAGAGCCUGUGCCCCUCAUCAGAGACAGGUUCAGGAGUGCUAAUGUUAGUUUUUGGCACUUGGCACUACCUCCUGCCAUUUGUAACACGGUGAUGGGACUCCAAAGAAGGCUUUGGAGAUACCAAAACACUGCUGUGNNNNN
rnacentral:lncRNA from 1 species